rnacentral:rRNA from 1 species
GACGAACGCUGGCGGCGUGCUUAACACAUGCAAGUCGAACGGAAAGGCCCUGCUUUUGUGGGGUGCUCGAUUGGCGAACGGGUGAGUAACACGUGAGUAACCUGCCCUUGACUUUGGGAUAACUUCAGGAAACUGGGGCUAAUACCGGAUAGGAUCUCCUGCUGCAUGUUGGGGGUUGGAAAGUUUCGGCGGUUGGGGAUGGACUCGCGGCUUAUCAGCUUGUUGGUGGGGUAGUGGCUUACCAAGGCUUUGACGGGUAGCCGGCCUGAGAGGGUGACCGGCCACAUUGGGACUGAGAUACGGACCAGACUCCUACGGGAGGCAGCAGUGGGGAAUAUUGCACAAUGGGCGGAAGCCUGAUGCAGCAACGCCGCGUGCGGGAUGACGGCCUUCGGGUUGUAAACCGCUUUCGCCUGUGACGAAGCGUGAGUGACGGUAAUGGGUAAAGAAGCACCGGCUAACUACGUG